rnacentral:tRNA from 1 species
AGGUUGUUGGUACAAUUUGGAAGCACGCCUGCCCGCCAAGCAGGAGGUUACAGGUUCGAAUCCUGUACAACCUG